rnacentral:rRNA from 1 species
UGAGUAACGCGUAGGAAUUUGCCCCAAAGUGAGGGAUAACUGCCCGAAAGGGUAGCUAAUACCGCAUAUGGUCUUCGGAUUAAAGGAUUUAUCCGCUUUGGGAGAAGCCUGCGUUGGAUUAGGUAGUUGGUAGGGUAAUGGCCUACCAAGCCGACGAUCCAUAGCUGGUCUGAGAGGAUGAUCAGCCAGACUGGAACUGAGACACGGUCCAGACUCCUACGGGAGGCAGCAGUGAGGAAUCUUCCACAAUGGGCGAAAGCCUGAUGGAGCAACGCCGCGUGAAGGAUGAAGGCCUUCGGGUUGUAAACUUCUUUUAUGAGUGAAGAAUAUGACGGUAACUCAUGAAUAAGCACCGGCUAACUACGUGCCAGCAGCCGCGGUCAUACGUAGGGUGCAAGCAUUAUCCGGAGUGACUGGGCGUAAAGAGUUGCGUAGGCGGUAAGUCAAGUGAAUAGUGAAACCUGGUGG